rnacentral:tRNA from 1 species
GGGUCCAUAGCUUAAUCGGUAGAGCGGCAGCCUUUUAAGCUGAUUGUUCAGGGUUCAAGUCCCUGUGGACUCA